GAAACAUAAGAUGAAGAAGUAUAAAGUUGAAGAGUGGUCUUACAUGAAGAUAUGAAUCACUUGGAUGGCCAAGGCGACUUGCCUGUACUGUAAUUUGAAGUUUUGUGCUCUCAAGUUGUUUGUUUCUCCAAUUCUUCAUUUGGAACACUGGCAAGUUGUCUUGCCAGCUGAAUGCUUUUUAUCUGAUGUUAGGCCUACUCUUCAUAUCAAUUUCAAAACAAGCUUCAGAAAAACAUCGAUUUACUAAACUGAGCCUUGUGUCUAUCUUGGUGAAAAACAAGUGGAGGAUGACAUAGUUCCUGCAUUAGUCCAUGACAGUAAAAAUGCAGGAGAGGAUGAAUGCAUUCUUGUUACCAAACUAGGCAAUAAACCUCCAGAGAAGAGGUAGAGAGCUCCAUCUGCUUACAAUCACUUCAUCAAAGAGGAAAUAAAGCGGAUAAAAUCAAGGAAACCAAACAUUACUCAUAAAGAAGCAUUCAGCAUGGCUACUAAAAAUGUCCUUCUACACUGAAAAAGAGAGGUCAAACAGCAAUGAAAGAAGUUCAUGCACGGUCUGAGGAAAACCAAAAGCCAAUAUUUUAGAAUGAAUUAAAUAAGCCAAUAGGAUUAGAUUAUAAGACUUUGAGUGAGCUCAGCAGUUUCUUAGGAACAUUGGCUCGAAAUUCAACACUUGCACCCCUUAGAGUCACUAAUUGGCGCAAAAAUGCCUACAAAAGAGUCAUUAUGCGAAUAUGUUCAGAAAAAAAUGCAUAGUCCCUCAAAAAGGUAAAAAGUGGGUUCUUGCUACUAUCGGAGAUGAUUGGAGAGUAUAUAAGUGUAGGGUGAAAAAAGAACAUUACUAUAAGUACAAGACUAACAAGCUUAGAAUAUUGAAUCAGCCCACAACAUAUUGGAGAAAAUAAAUUAAAGGACUUUUGAACUAUUAGAAUUCAACAAAUGCAAAGAGAAUCACCGAAAUAAAUGCAAAUAAUCGAAAGAGACAAAUUAAUAUGCAUACGACGGGCAAAAAGAGGUUUGCUAGGAUAAGGAAACAAAUGGUUAGUGUGCGUAUGUUUUUUUUUCUGUAUUUUAAAUUUGAUAUUCUAGGAAUGUUUUG